UCAAGCGAAUAAGCGCACACGGUGGAUGCCUUGGCGGUCAGAGGCGAUGAAGGACGUGGCAGCCUGCGAAAAGUAUCGGGGAGCUGGCAACAAGCUUUGAUCCGGUAAUGUCCGAAUGGGGAAACCCACCCGCUUGCGGGUAUCCUGCAGUGAAUACAUAGCUGCUGGAAGCGAACCUGGUGAACUGAAAUAUCUAAGUAACCAGAGGAAAAGAAAUCAACCGAGAUUCCGUAAGUAGCGACGAGCGAACGCGGACUAGCCCUUAAGCUGAUUUGGUUCUAGGAAAACGCUCUGGAAAGAGCGGCCAUAGAAGGUGAUAGCCCUGUAUCUGAAAGGGCCAUUUCAGUGAAGACGAGUAGGGCGGGGCACGUGAAACCCUGUCUGAACAUGGGGGGACCAUCCUCCAAGGCUAAAUACUACUGACCGACCGAUAGUGAACCAGUACCGUGAGGGAAAGGCGAAAAGAACCCCGGAGAGGGGAGUGAAAUAGAACCUGAAACCGUGUGCGUACAAGCAGUAGGAGCUCCGCAAGGAGUGACUGCGUACCUUUUGUAUAAUGGGUCAGCGACUUACUGUUCGUGGCAAGCUUAACCGUAUAGGGGAGGCGAAGGGAAACCGAGUCUGAUAAGGGCGCAUAGUCGCGGGCAGUAGACCCGAAACCGGGUGAUCUAGUCAUGCCCAGGGUGAAGGUGCGGUAACACGCACUGGAGGCCCGAACCCACUCCCGUUGCAAAGGUAGGGGAUGAGGUGUGAUUAGGAGUGAAAAGCUAAUCGAACCCGGAGAUAGCUGGUUCUCCUCGAAAGCUAUUUAGGUAGCGCCUCAUAUGUAUCCUCUCGGGGGUAGAGCACUGUUAUGGCUAGGGGGUCAUCGCGACUUACCAAACCAUUGCAAACUCCGAAUACCGAGACGGACUGUAUGGGAGACACACGGCGGGUGCUAACGUCCGUCGUGAAAAGGGAAACAACCCAGACCCACAGCUAAGGUCCCAAAUUUUGUGCUAAGUGGAAAACCAUGUGGAAAGGCACAGACAGCCAGGAGGUUGGCUUAGAAGCAGCCACCCUUUAAAGAAAGCGUAAUAGCUCACUGGUCGAGUCGGUCUGCGGGGAAGAUUUAACGGGGCUAAGCACAGAACCGAAGCUUGGGGUGCAUAACUUUGUUAUGCGCGGUAGAGGAGCGUUCCGUAAGCCGUUGAAGGUGGAUUGAGAAGUCUGCUGGAGGUAUCGGAAGUGCGAAUGCUGACAUGAGUAACGAUAAUGCGGGUGAAAAACCCGCACGCCGAAAGCCCAAGGUUUCCUUGCGCAACGUUAAUCGGCGCAGGGUGAGUCGGCCCCUAAGGCGAGGACGAAAGUCGUAGUCGAUGGGAAGCAGGUUAAUAUUCCUGCACCUCGCGUAAGUGCGAUGGAGGGACGGAGAAGGUUAGGUGUACCAGGCGUUGGUUGUCCUGGGGAAAGGCGGUAGGUUUGGAUCUUUGGCAAAUCCGGGAUCCUUUAAGACCGAGCACCGAGACGAGCCUUUAUGGCAAAGUCACUGAUACCACGCUUCCAGGAAAAGCUCCUAAGCUUCAGCUUACGCAGACCGUACCGUAAACCGACACAGGUGGGUAGGAUGAGAAUUCUCAGGCGCUUGAGAGAACUCGGGUGAAGGAACUAGGCAACAUGGCACCGUAACUUCGGGAGAAGGUGCACCCUUUUUGGUGGCUCGUGCGAGCUAUAGCUGAAGAGGGUCGCAGUAACCAGGCCGCUGCGACUGUUUAUCAAAAACACAGCACUCUGCAAACACGAAAGUGGACGUAUAGGGUGUGACGCCUGCCCGGUGCUGGAAGGUUAAUUGAUGGGGUCAGCCGCAAGGCGAAGCUCUUGAUCGAAGCCCCAGUAAACGGCGGCCGUAACUAUAACGGUCCUAAGGUAGCGAAAUUCCUUGUCGGGUAAGUUCCGACCUGCACGAAUGGCGUAACGACAGCGGCGCUGUCUCCACCCGAGACUCAGUGAAAUUGAAAUCGCUGUGAAGAUGCAGCGUUCCCGUGGCAAGACGGAAAGACCCCGUGAACCUUUACUAUAGCUUUACACUGAACGUUGAGUUCGUCUGUGUAGGAUAGGUGGGAGGCUAUGAAACCAUGGCGCUAGCUGUGGUGGAGCCAUCCUUGAAAUACCACCCUGUCGUGCUUGACGUUCUAACCUGGGCCCAUUAUCUGGGUCGGGGACCGUGUAUGGUGGGUAGUUUGACUGGGGCGGUCUCCUCCUAAAGAGUAACGGAGGAGCUCGAAGGUACGCUCAGCGCGGUCGGACAUCGCGCACUGUGUGCAAAGGCAUAAGCGUGCUUGACUGCAAGAUCGACGGAUCAAGCAGGUAGGAAACUAGGACUUAGUGAUCCGGUGGUUCUGUAUGGAAGGGCCAUCGCUCAACGGAUAAAAGGUACUCCGGGGAUAACAGGCUGAUACCGCCCAAGAGUUCAUAUCGACGGCGGUGUUUGGCACCUCGAUGUCGGCUCAUCACAUCCUGGGGCUGUAGUCGGUCCCAAGGGUAUGGCUGUUCGCCAUUUAAAGUGGUACGCGAGCUGGGUUCAGAACGUCGUGAGACAGUUCGGUCUCUAUCUGCCAUGGGCGUUGGAGAUUUGAGAGGGGCUGCUCCUAGUACGAGAGGACCGGAGUGGACGAACCUCUGGUGUUCCGGUUGUCACGCCAGUGGCAUUGCCGGGUAGCUAUGUUCGGAAGCGAUAACCGCUGAAAGCAUCUAAGCGGGAAGCGCGCCUCAAGAUGAGAUCUCCCGGGGCACAAGCCCCCUGAAGGAACCAUGUAGACUACGUGGUUGAUAGGUCAGGUGUGUAAGUACAGCAAUGUAUUGAGCUAACUGAUACUAAUGAUCCGUGCGGCUUGACCAU
rnacentral:rRNA from 1 species